UUUUUUUUCUUAUUCAUCUCCAGUUUUGUGCACAGAGGGUGGGUGUGGCAUUUGUGAUCUAUUAUUGUUAAUGGCCUCCAUUUAAAAUCAUUUUAUUGGCUGUCAUUUGCCUGCCAUGUCAAGCCUAUUUUAAUGAAGCAUUUGCUUUUCUAGCUGCAUAGAAUUAUUUUAAGAAAGAUAAUGAGAAAUGGGGACUCUAAGUGGCCUACAGUUCAAUAGAAGAAAGCUAAAAGCCCACCCAAACAUGAUAGUAACCACUGUUUUCUCUGCACUAGGAAAAAGCAGCCGUAGAAUUGUUGAUUAGUCUUGCAGAAGGCUAUAGUUCUCGCUGUCAUCCGGUUUUUCAGCUUAAAAAACAGGUGCUGAGCUGUGAGGAGAGCAUCAGGGUUUGGGCUCUGCUGCCUUUCCCCGAAGAACUCACUCGGGAAGCCGUCAGAUUAGAAGAUAAUUCUGAAACAAAUGCCUGCCACUCUUUGAUUACAAAAAUGAUGGAUGAGCUGUAUCACCAUAUGCCUGAGAAUCAUUGUGUGUUAAAGGACUUGGAUCGUCUUCCUACUGAGAUGUGGCCCCAGCUUCUCCGUGAGCUCUGCAGCACACCUGUUCCCACCCUGUUCUGCCCCAGGAUUGUGCUGGAAGUGCUGGUUGUGCUCCGAAGCAU
rnacentral:sRNA from 1 species